UGAAAAUUGAUUUAUCAGAGCUUCUGAAUCGGUCAGCAGCGGUGCUUUUCCUUCAUUGAUAAAAAUUCGAGCCCAGUUUCUAGCGAAGCAUCCGUAGAUCACUGGAGUACCGCUCUAGGAGCUUUUGCGAGGCAGCUCGCUCAAAAAUGUUUUUUUUUUAAGCUCAAGAAUCAACAGGAGCAGCGCUAUCCUUGCUAAUUAAAUCUCAAGUCGUGUUUCUAGCAGAGUCGUUUCAAUGAAAAUCCGAGCCUAGUUUACAGCGAAACGUCGGUAGAUCGCUGCAGCAGCGCUGUCGGAGCUUUCGCGAGGCAGCUCGCGGAAAAAUUGUCUUUAAAGAGAUUAAGAAUCGGCAGGAGCGCUGCUACCCUUCGUUCAUUGAAGCCUGAGCACUGUUGCUCGCAAAACGUCGGUAAAUCGCUGGAGCAGUCGUUUUGGAGUUUUCGUGAAAAAGUUGUUAUAUAAAACUGAUUUUUCAGAGUUCGAAAAAUUGGUUAUAAUCGAUGCAGUGUUUCUUACUAAAAAAGGUAAUCUACUUCAUUGUUUUUUCCUAUAAUAAUUACAGAUUUUACAACUGAUAACGAGGCUUAGCAAUAUACACUACGCAGAGUAACCGAAACAACGACCAGUAGGCAUUCAUAGCCGGUAGUGGUAUACAAAUCCACGAAUAACUGAAAUAAGACUUCCGCUGUGCUUUAGCGUCCAUAUAGUGCAAAAUCAGUAACAAGGGUUGGCAGAUAAUUGGCAGCUUUCGGCAGUUACUGAAAAUAAAUUAUCGCAAACUUAUUAUUUUAAAUUGAUAGUUUUUUAAAAUUGAAUUGUUAUUUAUUCUACUUGAAUUAGCGAUUUCUGUAUUUCAUGAGUUGCUGAAAUUGUCCACCGUCUGCUUGUAUGCACAGCUGAAAUCUUCUGCGCAGUUGCUCUCUUGCUCUUCUUAAUUUGCCAGCAUGAAUCGCAGCGCAUGCAUUUCGCAAGCGUUGCUUCAUGUCAUCAGAUGUAGUAGCUGGGGGGUUAUUCUGAAGUGAUAAAUACAGUGAUACAGGAUAAGCAAAGAGCGAUACAUAUUGUUUUCAGCUCUGUAGCAGUAAAUGUUUUUGGGAUGAAUAGUAUUUUCCUAGUUAUUUCCGCGAUACGCAAUGAAAAUGCGCGAACCGAGUUUGAAAAUCAACGUGAUACACUUUUAAAACUCUGUGAUAAAGCUUAUCGCUAUUGAAUAUUUUUAAAAUGUAAAUAAAGAUAUAAUGGAAACAUUAUUAUAUCGUAUUUAUUGAUAUGAAAGCGUGGCAACUGUAAUAACGCGGCUCAUAAAAAAUGUUCAUAAAAAGUUGGAAAAUGUUUAAAUAUUUGGUAGAACCCCACCUUAACGCAAAUAUAGAAAUAAAAUAAUCGUUAGAAUUAUUAUGUAAAUUUAUUGAAUCCUCACAUAUUAUUGUUCUAUACAUAUGAUUUUUUAAUAUUACAAUCAUGUAUACAAUAUAAAAUAUCAUGCGUACAAAGUCUGUUUUUUGUUCGAAUAACAAAUGUACAUUUAUAGAAAAAAUUUAAACCAUUAUAUGAUUAAUGUUGCAAAAGAUGAGCUAUUAAAACUGAUAAUAUACAGUGAAGCCCUUGCUAAAAAAAAAUUCUUUUAAAAAAUUAUAACAUCAUAACCCUCCAUGAAAAACUUUGAAACUAUCAUUGAAAUAGAGCUGCAUCGAUUAGCAUGUCAUAAAAAAAAUCAAUGAAGAUUUAAUACUUUGAUUUUUUGAUGUGGCGCAUAAUUUCUUCAAAGUCAACUUCAUCUUCAAGUAUUUCCAUUUCUUCUAUUUCUUGGUUUUCAUCAACUUCAUUGAUGGGGUCAGGAUUUGUUGGAGAUGGCAAUCUCAUAGGUUGAAUAUCAUCUUCGACUCUCUCAACACGUUCAACUGAUUCAUGUUGAACAGAACUUUCUUGAUUUAAUGUAGAAGAUAUAGGAUUGACAGCAAAAUAGUUUUUAGUAUUGAGAUGAGUUCCUCGAGCAAUGAAUUUGUACGACGGUGGUUUUCGCACAUAACUCUCAUUUCAUCAAGUUGGUUUCGCGCUACAGACUUCAAACUCUCAGAUAUAUUUGCCACAUAUUCAUUGUGUGCAUCAAGAGCUGAACUUGAAUCUUCUGCAGGGAAACAAAAAUAGUAAUUAUUUAAAAUUUUAAAUGUGAGAAUCUUAUUAUAUUAUUUUACUUAAAAUUUAUCAAUAAAUAUAUAUGCUCAUGAAUUAAUUACACACCAUCUCGCUUUUUCUUCGGUGCAGUGUUUCUUUUGUUGACAUUUUUUUGCCUUUUGUUGAGUUAGUUGUGAAAUCCAAGUCUGCCCAAGAGCAACUGGUUUCUGGAGAGUUACGUGUAGCUUGGCUUCUUUUAGUCUCAUCUACUGCAAGCCCCAAUGCUUUCAGGACUUUCAAGUCCAAAGCAUCCAACUCCACCUCGAGACCGUUUUCGUAGUCCCUUUUUUUCUCAAGUACGCUUCUCUUCUUAUCAACCCAUGUCUAAAAUUAUUAAAAUUGAAAUUAAUAACUGUUGGAAGAAAAAAGAUGUAUGAAGUAACGAGUCUUUCAAGAUAAAAAAAAGAAGAAUACUUAUAAAUAAUGUUGUCAAAAGAAUGAAAAUAUUCAUUUGUAAAAUUUAAGAUUGUUCAAUGUAAAUAAAUGUUAUGAUAAACUUACACGUUUCCAGGAUUCUGUAUCCCGAUGAUUAACACCUUCAUUUGCUAUGGCAUUAAGAUUAUCACUCAGUUCUUCCCAGCGAUGCUUUGCUAAUAGAGUAUCCAUUGUAUCUGUUGCUAAAUCAUGGUUACGUACCAUGGUUUGGAUUAACAGAGCCAUUUGUUUGCUGUUGAGCCUAUUGCGAGUAGCUUGAUCUCUGAAAAAGCACAGAAACAAUGAACACUUAUGGACUUUGAAUAGAGAAGUUAUUAAACAGAGUUAGUACUGUUAAACAAAUUCUGUUCAAAAAAUAUAGAAAAAAGUUUAAAUAUUUAGACGACAAUGACAUUGUCUCUCUAACAGAAAAAGCUCUUAUCAGUAAUUUGAGUUCAAAAGAGAAUAAAUUGUCAUUCUGGUGUUUCAGUAAAAUAAGCUAUUCAAAUGAAAAGAAAAAAAAACUAUCUUUGCAGGCAUAUUUAUCCAAUGAUGUAAAUCACAUAGACUGUAGGUAUAUUUGCAAAAACUUACUGAUUUUUAGACAUUUUAUGGAUUGAAGUUACACGUCCGCGUUGCGAAAACAUACUAGUUAGGUAGCUACCUCACAAACUACAGUCAAUGAUCAAAUUUCUAAGAAUUUAGGGAAAGGACGCGCGGUUGUCUUUUGUUGUAAAGAAGGUUAGGUUCAGUGAUACACUGUUUAUAUCACAAGUGAUAUAGCUCUUAUCACCAAUGCAUUAGCUUAUUGCAUCCUACAAAUACUCUUUUACAAUAUUUUUCUCAAAAUUAUUGAACCCACCCAAUAACUAUUUUAUUUGUAUGAACUGAACUUAAAUAAUAAUAUACUCUCUUCUAAAAAGUUGGAUCUAUGUUUCUGGAUUUUUGAAAACAGAAUAAUUACUUUAAUGCACAAUAAAAAAGUUUUCAAUCAUAAAUAUUUUUUAAAAGAUAAUAAAAAAUAAAAUUUCUUCAAAUAAAAAUGCUUCAUUUGUUCAUAAUAAGUCUUAUUGGAACAAGAGCUGAAUUAUGUUAAAAUUUUUCAUAUGUAUACAAAUUAUAAAAUGUAAUAGAAUAACAUGUAACAUAAUCUCUGAAAACUUACGGUGCAAUAAUCAUCCACAAGAGUUUCACUAAACUAUUCAUGACUGCUAAUAAUAUAUUGAUGAUUUGUGUUAUUUCGUUAUAUUUCUGAAGACUAUCAGCUACUAGGAUCCUAAAGCCAUCUAAAAUUUCAGGACAAGUUUCAUUCUUGCAAAUGAUAUUUAGAUUAUCUGAAUGAUGGGUUUGAAGAGAGUCAUCGUCAGGAAUCCUAGGAUUAAUAGACUGUGUCGUAGUGAAGAUAGUCCGUCCUGCACAAAAUGAGGAAGCUUUUUUUCACCAUAAACAUGCACACUCAUUGAAUGUUCAAGUGGUCUCAGACGAUAACUACAUGAUUCAAAGCAUUCGAAUUUGCCCAGGUUCAAACAGAGAUAUUGUCCAGGUAGAAGGAUCCUAUUAUUUAUUAGGAGACAGCGGCUACACUCCAUCAACAGUUCUUCUUACACCUAUUAAGAAUGUGCCAUUACAUUCGGCAGAAGGGAGGUACACACAUCAGCAUGUCAGGACCCGAUGUAGAAUCGAACAAUGUUUGGUAAGCAAUCAGCAGGCGACGAACUUUAUAUUACAGUCCAAGAAAAGCAGCUAAAAUAGUUUUAGCUUGUGCAGUAUUGCACAAUUUUCGAAGAAUGCAUGGUGUACUGGACUUGAUCCGAGAAGUUAUAGAAGAUGAUGAUGAUGAGCAAGAAAUCAAUCCACAUCGUGGCGAAGAUUAUUUACAAGGAAUUCAAGAGAGACACAGACUCGUCCACCUAUAUUUUAAUUAAUCAAAAAAUUGAAUUUUGUAUUCAUGCAUUUAUGCAUUUAUGCAUGCAUUAAUUAAUGAUAAUAAUUAAAUGUAUUAUUAGAUAUACCUAAUUAUAUUUAAAUAAAUAAAGUCGCUAGAAUUCUAUAGAGUGA